rnacentral:lncRNA from 1 species
UAAACUUAACCCGAGGUGCUGCUGCAAGUCCAGCAAGAUCGUGCUCCAUGUAUUCAAAUACAAGAUAUAAGCUGCCUGAUAUCCUAGAUGUGACCAAAGCCUCAAGUUUCAUAACAUUUGGGUGGUUCAAUCUACGCAAAAUACUUAUCUCCCUUGCCAUAAAGCGAACGCUCUCUGGGUCCAUAUUGACAAAUCUCACUUUCUUCAUUGCAACAAUUUUAUUGGUUUUAAGGUCACGGGCCUUGUAAACACUACUAUAUGUUCCUUGACCAAUCUGCAUAAAAUUUAAACAGUUUAAGGAGUCAAUUACUAGAAUAUAUGAAAAUCGAACUUUCUAUUAGUCCGAAGAUCUAUAGAAAACUAAAUGAACAUCAUAUUUUGGCUGGACAGCAAAUUUCAUGAUCCUGUUUUCACAGUAUCUUCCAACAAGUACAAGGCAAUCAAGCACUCUCAUCUUUAGAGAAAGAAGAUACUCAAGCCAUGGUUAAGAAAGUUCAUAUUUGGUACUCAAAAGAAACCAAGAAAACAAUUAGUAGUCCUGUCGAAAAUAGUUUUAUUUACAAUCCAUUUUCAGUAUUAGUACUUAAAAGUGACCCGAGAAAAAAAAGCUCUAAUUAAUAAAAACGAAGAAACUUUUAGAGAAAAGUCACUUCGUAUGGGAAAACAAUUCAGCUACUUCUUUGAACAAAAUAUGAUCUCUACGAUAGUAGCAGAUUCAAGACCCUGCGUACAGCAUGAUAUUUUGCAGAAUUUUUGGGAAGUCCUCUGAGAAAGGAGGAACAUAAACAACAUUACAUGAGUGACAGUUUGGAGAAGAAACAACAUUACAUAAAUGACAGUUUUAAGUAAUAACAGAAACAUGGAUCCAUAAGGUGGAUAACUACAAAAUGCAGAUACCAAAGUUCAGAAAACUAUGGCUGUUAUAACUACUAGUAGAUUAGUGAAAAACAAAAUGAAAGCAGGCAUGAUUUGGAAAAACUAAAUGAGUAGAGAGAAGAAGCUGUAGAACUGACUUUGUUUAGUUUUUCAAAUGACUCUGCACUUCGAGGAACCCACCCUUGAAUAGCCUCGGCUGCAACAGAACUUAGCCACGAUGGCCAUCCUGCAGCUCCGAGUUCACCCUUUACACCGUUAUGUAUGCUUACAAUUCUAGACAUUGAUUGUUGCACUCCAAAAUCCACGGUGGACCGCCUCUUGUGAUGUCCUUCCUUAGGCCUCUCGAUAAUUCUUGUUUUUCCAUCAUCCUCAACUUUUGUUGCAGGGACAGGAACAACGCUGGCUUCUGACGUCCGCUUUGAUUUAGAUUUCAUAGGUAGUUCAAUCUUAGGAUUAACUAAGUCUACUUUAAUCUCCUCUCUUUGUAAGGGAGCAACCAUCUGUACAGAAUAUUUAUCAACUUCUUUUUCUUUCUCCUUCUCAUGUUCGAUAACAUAAUCAUCUUCGGAAGAACCCUUUGAGCAA